ACUCAAAGGAAUUGACGGAAGCUCGCACAAGCGGUGGAGCAUGUGGUUUAAUUCGAAAUAACGCGAGUAAUCUUACCAAUGAUUGUAUACCAAAGAAUACGAAUGAAAAUUCGUGAUAGGGAGCUAGACGCAAAGGAAGUUUUUUUUUUGGUACAGGUACUGCAUGGCUGUCGUCAGUUCGUGUUUUAAGAUGUUUGGUUAAGUCCAGGAACGAACGCAACCCCUUAUUCUGUUUGUUGCUAAUUCGUUUUCUGUUGGGGGGAAGAAUUAGAGUAAUACAGAGUAAACUGCUUUUGAAAGAAAGAGGAAGGUGGGGAGAAUGUCAAGUCAUCAUGGUCUUUAUAUAUUGGGCUACACACGUGCUACAAUGGCAGAGACAGUGAGAAACAAAAGCGUGAGCUUGAGUAGACCUCUAAAAAUCUGCCUCAGUUCGAAUUGUUCUCUGAAACUCGGGAACAUGAAGUUGGAAUCGCUAGUAAUCGUGGAUUAGCACGUUACGGUGAAUACGUACUCGAGCUUAGUACACACCGCCCGU
rnacentral:rRNA from 1 species